rnacentral:misc_RNA from 1 species
GAUGAAGAACGUAGCGAAAUGCGAUAAGUAAUGUGAAUUGCAGAAUUCAGUGAAUCAUCGAAUCUUUGAACGCACAUUGCGCCCGCCAGUAUUCUGGCGGGCAUGCCUGUUCGAGCGUCAUUUCAACCCUCAAGCCCAGCUUGGUGUUGGGGAUCGGCACAGGCGCCCUCGGGCGCCCGCCGUCCCCUAAAUCUAGUGGCGGUCCCGCUGCAGCCUCCUCUGCGUAGUAGUUUUCUCCUCGCAAGGGCAGCUCGGUGGCGACCUCGCCGUAAAACCCCCAACUUCUGAAAGGUUGACCUCGAAUCAGGUAGGAAUACCCGCUGAACUUAAGCAUAUCAAUAAGCGGGGA